AACGAACGCUGGCGGCAUGCCUAACACAUGCAAGUCGAACGAGACCUUCGGGUCUAGUGGCGCACGGGUGCGUAACGCGUGGGAAUCUGCCCUUGGGUUCGGAAUAACAGUUAGAAAUGACUGCUAAUACCGGAUAAUGUCUUCGGACCAAAGAUUUAUCGCCCAGGGAUGAGCCCGCGUAGGAUUAGCUAGUUGGUGAGGUAAAGGCUCACCAAGGCGACGAUCCUUAGCUGGUCUGAGAGGAUGAUCAGCCACACUGGGACUGAGACACGGCCCCAGACUCCUACGGGAGGCAGCAGUGGGGAAUAUUGGACAAUGGGCGAAAGCCUGAUCCAGCAAUGCCGCGUGAGUGAUGAAGGCCUUAGGGUUGUAAAGCUCUUUUACCCGGGAUGAUAAUGACAGUACCGGGAGAAUAAGCCCCGGCUAACUCCGUGCCAGCAGCCGCGGUAAU
rnacentral:rRNA from 1 species